CCGGUGCGCCAGCAGGCACAUCAGCCGAUGCCAGCUGAUACAACAGCAAGUGUUCUCGCUGGGUGAUGUGGACGUGCAAGGCCAGUCCAACAGGGGCCUAGGCAGUCAAACCAACAGGAGCCUCCUGUCCUGCAGGGGCCUGGACUACUUGCCCAGCAAGAAUCAGGAUCUGUCCAGCAGGGGCAGACAAGGCCUGUUCAGCAAAAGCAGCCAGUUGCUUUAUAUUGGAGAAGGCGAGCGGGCCGAAGAGAAUAACAGUUCUUGAAUUUCUUGUAUAAAUUGUCGGCUCCUAGUUUAUAUUGGGGAGAAAGAAGAGGAAGAGGAAGUGGAAGGAGAAGAGGAAGAGGAAAUUAAUAAAAGGAAAGAAGACAGACAAAGACAGGACGUUAUGGAUUUAAUUUAUGUAAUUUAAAAUAUUUAUGUAAUGGUAUAGUUUACAUCGAUGUAUUUUAAUAUGUACUAAAUAUUACACUGGCCAUUCCUUUAAAGAAUGGAAUAGCUGUGAUUGAUCAGUAUAGAAUUUAAUAUGUAUAUAUAUUAAAGUGUAUCGGUCUAACUAGACUAAUGUUAAAAUAAUGUAAACAUUAUUGA